ensembl:lncRNA
GGUGGCCUGGCUCCCGCCGACUGCCGCGGCCACUUGUGAGUGAGGGCAGAGGGCCGGGUCCCUCGGACUCCUGACUCCUGUCUCCUUCAACUUCAUCUGGGCUAGGCUCGAAGUCUUUCUUCUCCGCUUCUGGAUUGUCUACUACAAGCAGUGGGAGCUUGACUUGGUAAGCCAGUAAAGAACCUUGCUGAUCAUGGCCACCUGGGCCUGGUUGGGGAAUCCUCCAGUAAGCUGCCAGGACCGCUUGUCUGGAGGAUCUGCCCUUCAGAAUUCCCUGGAAUGGCAUGGAGUGCCCUAGCGCUUGACAGCUGGAUGGACAUUUGAGAGCUAGCAGGCUCCAUACUGUUGGUACUGACGCUGUGAGCAGGAUUCGAACCUGCGCGGGGAGACCCCAUUGGAUUUCGAGUCCAACGCCUUAACCACUCGGCCAUCACAGCCGCGUGCGGCCCUGGGCCUGCGCAACUAUAGCUGCCUAUCAACACGCCCGUCUCCAGCGAGUACCGCCCUGCUGGGUUGAUAUGUCAGUGCGCAUGCGCCUGUGAGGCAACCGAAGAGGCAGCUCUCCUGUCCUUCCUCCCUACCCCAAGACACCACGCAAAACGGCCCCAAAUCUGAGUCAACAUUCUCAUAUCCUUGUAGGCAGACAAAGGGAGGCCGUUAA